UGGGGCCUACGGGGGGCAGCAGUGGGGAAUAUUGCACAAUGGGGGAAACCCUGAUGCAGCAACGCCGCGUGAGUGAAGAAGUAUUUCGAUAUGUAAAGCUCUAUCAGCAGGGAAGAAGAUGACGGUACCUGAUUAAGAAGCCCCGGCUAACUACGUGCCAGCAGCCGCGGUAAUACGUAGGGGGCAAGCGUUAUCCGGAUUUACUGGGUGUAAAGGGAGCGUAGACGGUGAGACAAGUCUGAAGUGAAAGCCCGGGGCUCAACCCCGGGACUGCUU
rnacentral:rRNA from 1 species